rnacentral:rRNA from 1 species
UACGAAGGGAGCUAGCGUUGUUCGGAAUCACUGGGCGUAAAGCGCACGUAGGCGGAUGUGUCAGUCAGGGGUGAAAUCCCGGAGCUCAACUUCGGAACUGCCUUUGAUACAGCACAUCUGGAGUCCGGAAGAGGUGGGUGGAAUUCCUAGUGUAGAGGUGAAAUUCGUAGAUAUUAGGAAGAACACCGGUGGCGAAGGCGGCCCACUGGUCCGGUACUGACGCUGGAGGUGACGAAAGCGUGGGGAGCAACAGG